rnacentral:rRNA from 1 species
GACGAACCGUGCAAACGGUAUUCGGAAUCAUUGGGCUUAAAGGGCGCGUAGGCGGCGUUGUUAGUCAGGGGUGAAAUCCCAUCGGCUCAACCGUGGAAUUGCCUUUGAUACUGCAAUGCUUGAGGGAGGUAGGGGCGAGUGGAACUUCCAGUGGAGCGGUGAAAUGUGUUGAGAUUGGAAGGAACGCCGGUGGCGAAAGCGACUCGCUGGCCCUCUUCUGACGCUGAGGCGCGAAAGCCAGGGUAGCAAACGGG